rnacentral:rRNA from 1 species
GACGAACGCUGGCGGCGUGCCUAAUACAUGCAAGUAGAACGCUGAAGGAAGGAGCUUGCUCUUUCCGGAUGAGUUGCGAACGGGUGAGUAACGCGUAGGUAACCUGCCUGGUAGCGGGGGAUAACUAUUGGAAACGAUAGCUAAUACCGCAUAACAGUAGAUGUUGCAUGAUAUCUACUUAAAAGGUGCAAUUGCACCACUACCAGAUGGACCUGCGUUGUAUUAGCUAGUUGGUGAGGUAACGGCUCACCAAGGCGACGAUACAUAGCCGACCUGAGAGGGUGAUCGGCCACACUGGGGCUGAGACACGGCCCAGACUCCUACGGGAGGCAGCAGUAGGGAAUCUUCGGCAAUGGACGGAAGUCUGACCGAGCAACGCCGCGUGAGUGAAGAAGGGUUUCGGAUCGUAAAGCUCUGUUGUAAGAGAAGAACGAGUGUGAGAGUGGAAAGUUCACACUGUGACGGUAUCUUACCAGAAAGGGACGGCUAACUACGUG